rnacentral:tRNA from 1 species
GGAAUCGCGUGGCUGGAUCCUGCUCGUCGGAGCCAGUCGCGUUAAAUCAAAAGACGAAACUAAGCAUGUAGAGCCAAUGGGUGAGUGCCGGCGGACGCGGGUUCAAUUCCCGCCGCCUCCACCA